rnacentral:tRNA from 1 species
GCCUGGGUGGCUCAGUCGGUUGAGCAUCUGACUUCGGCUCAGGUCAUGAUCUCGUGGUCUGUGAGUUCGAGCCCUGCGUCGGGCU